rnacentral:rRNA from 1 species
GGGAAUAUUGGACAAUGGGCCGCGAGCCUGAUCCAGCAAUUCUGUGUGGGUGAUGACGGUCUUAGGAUUGUAAAGCCCUUUCAGUGGGGAAGAAGAAAGUGACAGUACCCACAGAAGAAGCCACGGCUAACUACGUGCCAGCAGCCGCGGUAAGACGUAGGUGGCAAGCGUUAUCCGGAAUCACUGGGCGUAAAGGGCAUCUAGGCGGUUUAUUAAGUCAGAAGUGAAAUACCGGGGCUCAACCCCGGGACUGCUUUUGAAACUGGUAGACUAGAAUACGGGAUAGGAGGGCGGAACUACAAGUGUAGAGGUGAAAUUCGUAGAUAUUUGUAGGAAUGCCGAUGACGAAGGUAGCUCUCUGGACCGACAUUGACGCUGAAGUGCGAAAGCUAGGGUAGCAAAC